UAAACAGCGCAAUGCUUGACGCACAACGAAGAGCUGCUGGCAAAACGCCCGAAAGUGCCGUUUACUCGCCUGCUUCUGCCUACCACCAGUCGGUCAGAUACUUAGAUACUUGUAUGCUCAGUCAGAUUAUAUGCAACGCAGGACACGCUAGAUAAUAUCUAGUAAUAUCAUCAACCAUGUGUAGUUAACUCGUGAUUGUUUUUUAUAAGAUACGUUUAAUGCUAGCUAGCAAUUUACCUUGGCUUACUGCAUUCUCGUAACAGGCAGCCUCCUUGUGGAGUGCAACGAGAGAGAGGCAGGUCGUUAUUGCGUUGGACAAGUUAACUGUAAGGUUGCAAGAUUGUAUCCCCGAGCUGACAAGGGAGACACCUCCCUCUUGGGCUAGCACCUCACCAGGCACCACAUCUGUCUGCUAGUCCAGAUCGCCCACUGGUCUUACAACCGCCUCCUCUGGCCUGUGGUGGUUCUGACUGGGCUAGACCACUACUGGACUGAGACCACUUCGCUCUGGGGCGAAGUUAGAGAUCUAGGAUCAGCUUCCCAGUCUCCCCAAUCCUGGCGGUAACCAUUAGCGGGCAAAAUGCUAAACUCACCCAGCAUCUCCAUCUAGGGGCAACUUCACCCUACACCAUGAGGACUCCAUGCUGGGAUCUAAAGAUCGUGUUCUUAGCGGUCAUCUCUCUGCUGUGGAUUGUGGCCCUGCUCUAUGUGUUCCUGGUGUCUGGGGUCAUUCUAGUGUUGCGGAACCAGUCUUUUCACCAGCUGCAUCAGUGCUGGGUGUUCACUAGCGCUCAUACCUCAGUUGGCCGAAGUGCUGCUACUGACUGUGGCCUGUGCAGUGCUGUACGUUCAUAGCCACACAGGGUCUACUAUGGGGAUCCACAGGGGUGGAAGGAUGCUCACAUGGAUUCAUCCUCCAUUUUGGAGUCACACUGGCAGGCAGUGCAGAGUAGAGGUGUUUCGCCAGGUGUUGUGGAUUAUCCUCAGAGUGGGCUCUGUUCCUGGUGUUCCUGCCUGUGUCUGGUCUUCCAAGUUGGGAUCCCUAGAUACCUGGGGCUGAAUGAUCCCUGGCUCUGUUUACUCAAUAGCUUCCUUCUUGGGGUUGUGUUGUGCGUGUGCUGCCUGGCUAGCAUUUCAGCUAGCUCAGGGCUCAGUGACUACUGACAGACCUACUGCACCACAUGAUGCUCUGGAGGAGCUACACUUGUCCCCUAAUGCUUAACGCCACACUGAGCUGUAACUGAUGCCUUAAGGGCCACUCUGUAAGUCCAGUGACAAGACAAACAAUGGAGUCCAUAUAUUGUAGGUCCAUUGUUUUUUUUGUCAUUAUCAGGCGAGAGAGCUGUACAAAUCUUAACAGGGUAUUUAUAAAUCACACUCUUGGUCUCGACUUGUAAGAUUGUCGUAUCUCAUGAAAUAUUAAAUAUUACACAACGCAAGGUUUGGUUCUGGGUACCGAGAAUAAUAAUAAGACCGACUGGUCAGUUGUCACUCAUGUUAACUUGUUUUUAACAUGAACACAAAAAUAUCUGCAUAUUCACAUAGUGAUGUGUAGGCCAUUGUUGUAUUUUGGAUAAUGAUGUAUACAAUGUAAUGAGUUAAUUUUAUGAUGUACAGUUCUGUUUUUUGUACUCUAGUUAGUCUAAACUUUGACUGGCUGAUGUACAGCUAAUUGCCUAUGAGGGAUAAUAAAGAUAAUCUAUUCUACUUUAAGCUAUCAGUGAUCGUCUACGACAACACAUGACAUCAGUCUCGACUCCCAAAGAAAAGAAGAUUCCCGACACCAAUUGUGACACUACAGAACUUUACUUGAACGUGAUCCAAGUUCAUUGUUUAUACAGUGUAUAUUUACAAGAUGUGAAAUAAGGGCGGGAGGAAAAACACAACACGAGAUAUACAACUGAGGUAUUCGCUAAAAGCAAGUACAGGUAUGUCGUCAUCAUUUACUAGUAUAUAUCAAUUAUGAUCCACGAUUAAAGACGCAGUGUCCUCUGCUUAAAAAACAUUUUAUAUCACAACAUGAGGUAGGAGAACAGUGUCUCGUUUCAUGCAACAAAAAAAAGUCUCAAUCACACUGUAUCGUUGUUGGCAACAUGGUAUGCAAUGAUCAUACAUAGACACUCACUGCCAUACAGGUUUCUGAAGAAUAAAAAGCCAUAAAAAGAUAGUUUAAAGAAGAAAUGUUAUGAUUUGUCAGGUGUAGCCUAAUAACUCUAAACUGAAAACAUGGCAUGUUUAUCCCAGGCACACAUAAUAUUAAGAACCAUUUUGUGAAAUCAUUAACAAGAUGGGACCUAGCUAGGACAGGGUGUAAUGUCCAGGUCCCACGCUUGUAGAUAAGGGUGUUUGUAAAUAAAAAUUAAACUACAAAGCAUAAUUGGAAACAAUUGAUCUGGCAUUAUAUCACCCAUCCAAAAUAACUUGUUGCCAUUGUUAAAGAGCGCCACUUCUACACUUCAUCGCCUUCUUCAUUCAAAUGGAAAGUUGAGCCAUUGUAUAUAUCUCAAAAUGUUAAAAAUAAAUAGAUAAAAAAAUUGCUGAACUAUCCUUUUAUGUCUGAGAACAAUCCAUUGGGGAUGUAUGUAAAAUAUAUAUAAAAUGGAAACGAUAGUUACUGUUUAGCUGUGCUUCUGAAGCAAGGCCAGGACCAAGCCUAAUGGUAAUGGUCUAGUUAGUAGUGAGUUGGGUAAAAUGCGCCCCUCUAAAAACAUUUUUUAUUUUAUUUUAAACUCUGUACAAAGCACAUCCAUCUUAGGCUCUGUCCUAAAUGGCACCCCAUUCCCUAUAUAGUGCACUACUUUUGACCAGGGCCCAUAGGGAACAAAAAGUUGCUUACGGGGUAGAGAACAGGGUGCCUUUUGGGACACAACAUUAGUUCUCAUAACAAUGCGAAUGCAAGAGGGCCCAGCCCGCUGUGUUACAUAGUAUUUUUGACUUCUUUUAAUCCAUUGUGUCUAUCAUAUCAUUAUUAUGACAUUUAACUAAAGUCAAUAUAGAGCGCCCUCUUGUAUAUAAAAUUCAAUUUACACCGACAGAAAAUAAAAUACAGAAAUACAUUAGAUACCCCAGAACGAUUGUUAAAAAACUAAAUGCAGUAGACUGUAGAGAUAGGUAAUUAUGGUGAUGAUAACUGAAUACUGAUUUAUCUUGUGAUGUCAACACACUGCAGUUAAAGACUCUAUACCCCGAAGAGGACAAUUGUCUCUGUGUGUUGGACAAAAAUGAGGACAACCACAGUGCUACUUGAGAAUACGGCUCUCGCUUUUUCAUAGCUACUGUGCUUCGGUCACUUUCAAAUCAAUGGCAUAGAGUCAGUCAGACACAAACUCGACACACACACUUCUCGCGCUCAUCUUUGCAGAAUCUCAUGAGGCUACAUUUGUAUGGUAUGAUUCGGUAGUUGGACUUUAGUUCUAUUUAGCCAUCUUCUAAAGCCAGAAGUAUAUUUCAACGGUCAAACUAGCUCAGAUGCCCUCAGCCAUUGCGUCUCCUUGCUAGUAGUGAGACAGGUCAACAACUUGUACGUUGGAGACACUGGCGGCAUCCCAAAUGGCAACAUAUUCCCUAUAUAGUGCACUACAAAUCAGGAAUAGGGUGCCAUUUAGGACAGGCUCUUUUUAUUUAUUUUUUACAAAACGUAUCAAUUGAGUGGCCCAGUGAGAAGUAAGAAAUCAUUCACCUAACAAAACAACUUAGGGGUAUCGAUCCACUCGUUAUAUGCAAACUUUAGUUUUGUUUGUUUUCAGUUUCUUUUUUUCUCUUUAAACAAAUGUUUGGUGCAUUUUCAAAUUGUCUGGGUUGAGGGUUUAGCGUACAAAAAGGGAAGGUAUUAAGGGAGAAAGAUUAUACAUCAUUAUUACACAGUCUAUCAAGGUGAAAUCAUCCACAAAAGAAACUAAAUGAAAGCAAUCAGUUCUGGGGAAGUGCUGUAACAAUGCUCUUUCUUUCCUAUUCAACUCUGACCUCUGUCCUGUGUCAGGUGGUCACAUCUGAACGCCAUGCAUUUCAACUCCCAACAGCAAGAUUACAUCCUUUAAAAAGGUGCAAUAUGAUAUCAUCGUACACAGCAGAGCGACAACAAAUUCAAAUCUGCCACUAUUGGUUAGUCCCCAUGUAGGCAUGGCCCUUUUUUUAUUUUUAAGAGCCAAGUGUCAAUCUUGAAUUAGGUUGUUGAUAAUGUGUGAAUAGGAAGUCACUCCGCUGCGUAUUGCCCCUUUAACAGGGUAAACAACAAGUUAAGUGAAUCUUUGAAGAAUUCAGAGUUAACAAAAACAUCAGGGCUGUUUAGAGCUUCGGGCCUGGCCUAGUUAAUAUUAUAAUAACCUUUAAAAGAUCAUCCCAUAACAACACAGUAAAUAUAUUAAAUGAAUAAUGUAUGUACAAA
ensembl:lncRNA